UAUGAGGCUGAUCUGGCCUGCUGUAUGUGUGACCCCAUCAAUUGCUGGCUGAUCCGAAGGACUAGCGUCUCCUUCAUCUGGUCUUCAUUGAGCUGUGGACAGCCCUCCAAAAGCUGAAUGCUCUGUCAAGAAGGAUGCCCUUCCCAGAUAGGAAGAGCUGUUCUUUGGUCAAAGGUAUACAGGUGGUAUACUGAUGAUGUGAAGAAACACAACUUUUGGGCUUUUAUGCCGACACUGUUCUAUGAGCUUUUCUUAAUUUCUGGAGUGUGCAAAGCAUUAUCUAGGUCUAUAAACAAGAAUAAUAAAAGGAAACAAUGGGGCUGCCAUUUCCCAGCUCUCUUUUUUUUU
rfam:Gorilla gorilla gorilla genomic chromosome, chr2B, whole genome shotgun sequence